rnacentral:tRNA from 1 species
GAGGGUAUAGCUCAGUGGUAGAGCACAUGCUUAGCAUGCAAAAGGUCCUGGGUUCGAUCCCCAGUACCUCCA